AAAAAUGGUACUCACUUUUCUCUCUUCCUGGAAUAUCAGAUUUCAUAUAAAACUCAUCAGUUGAGCCGAGUAUUUGGCUUGAUCAAUGGCAGGAAACCAGAGGAUCAAAUGUUAAUAAAUCAGAAACAGAUACCUCCACUUGAGCUAGGAUAGACCAGUAACCUGAAAAACAGGGCAAAUUAUUUGACAGCUUCUUUCUCUAUAUGCAUAUAUGCUUGCGGGAACUGAAGGCAUUUCACAAGACACUCAGAAAGUCGGAACAAAGGACUCAAAGAAAAGAAAAAGGGAUGCUCAAGGGUCAAAUGAGGACAGAAGCAUUUGUCUGCCCCACCGCACCCCAGCCAACUGGAAGACCAUUCCAAACAGCACUCCAGCCAGGUUGCUGUGGAGUCUAAGGAUGAAAAUCUGGUAAGUGGUUUUUCUUUCUCCAGUUGUUACAAAUAAUAAUACGCUGNGCUUCCAUGACAACUGAAAUCUGCUGCCUGAAGAAUCAUAACGGUAGGGCCAGUCACAGAGCCUUUCUGUACUCACCUUUAAUCUGUAAUAGGAGCCUCCAUAGUCACCUUCUGGGCUUCAUCAGUACACACUAGUUUAAACAGGUCUACCAGCAGGGCCUGGUCCAGAACACGGAGGUGUGCAGAAGGCAUACCUCCACAUUCGGGACUACUGGAGGACCCAUUUCAGCAGUGCAUCAAAGUGGGCCACCGAAAUGGGUCCCCUGGUUGUUCUGAGGCUAGGAAUGAAGGAUCCUAGCCCUUCAGAGCCCUUAGAGACCAGCCUAAANCUCACACGCCUUUCCAUGAUCUGAAGCAGCAGGCCUCACUGACCCAAAUCUACUGGUUCAGACCACAGAGAGAUGAGUGCAGAAAGACCCAUAAACAUUCACUCCAGUAAUUUCAGAANCCCCUUCAGAUCUUCCCACUCAGUGCAGAAAGAUCAGACAGUGCUGGUUUGCAUUUGUGUGCUGGACUCGAGACUAAUAAUGGAAUAAGACUUCCAUGCCUCACAUGGCCUAUAUUGAAAUGAAUGAUCUGUUUAUGAACAUCACCCAGCAGCUUCAUUAUGUAUCUUGAAGAAACCUUUAUAGCCUGAAAGAGUUGAAUGUCUUUAUUACUUUCUCGGAGCUGCUUAAAGAUUGGGGGACAGUAAGCAGAGAGGGAGGAAACCACACUAGGAGCUGUUCCCAUUAAUGCCUUAANAGAGAAUUAUUUUAAAAUUCUGCUCUUU
rnacentral:lncRNA from 1 species